GACGAACGCUGGCGGCGUGCCUAAUACAUGCAAGUCGAACGGGAGCGACCGGUGCUUGCACUGGUCAAUCUAGUGGCGAACGGGUGAGUAACACGUGGGUAACCUGCCCAUCAGAGGGGGAUAACAUCCGGAAACGGAUGCUAAAACCGCAUAGGUCUUCGAGCCGCAUGGCUUGAAGAGGAAAAGAGGCGCAAGCUUCUGCUGAUGGAUGGACCCGCGGUGCAUUAGCUAGUUGGUGAGGUAACGGCUCACCAAGGCCGUGAUGCAUAGCCGACCUGAGAGGGUGAUCGGCCACAUUGGGACUGAGACACGGCCCAAACUCCUACGGGAGGCAGCAGUAGGGAAUCUUCCGCAAUGGACGCAAGUCUGACGGAGCAACGCCGCGUGAGUGAAGAAGGUUUUCGGAUCGUAAAACUCUGUUGUUAGAGGAGAACAAGUGCUAGAGUAACUGUUAGCGCCUUGACGGUAUCUAACCAGAAAGCCACGGCUAACUACGUG
rnacentral:rRNA from 1 species